AUUCAGGUAGUUUAGAUAAAAAUAUUGGUGUGUGGUAUCAAGGAGAUAGUUUAUAUUAUUCUGAAUU
rnacentral:tRNA from 2 species